GUUUGGAUCUUCUUUGGAAAGGAUCUGCCCUUUUGCACGCAGUUUCCUUAUCGCUGCAAUCUAAAGGGAGGCAUUAGAAGCGCAAUCAACCAUUUUAAUUCAACCCUGUACGAUGUUAAAGUUUGAAGGGAGUUAAGGAUCUUCGCUUCCGGGCCUCCAACAUUUGCCGUUUCUGUUGCUUCAGCAGAGCUGAGGCAGAGAUGGAGUGGACAGCUGGCUUUCCUGUAAAUCCUGAAAAAGGAAGAAGAAAGAAGCGCGAUCAUUAAGCAAGCAUGACAGAACACUGGGGCUGUGAAACAAAUCCAUUUUCUGCAAUGGGCACGUUUGGCCAGAAACCGGAAGUAAACGUCAGUCACGUCCCAAAAGAUCUCAGCCACGUUUUCCUGGUUACCAGUGGACCCCUCCUCUUCUACUUCCAGCUCCUCGUUGUAGGAGGUGUAGGACUCAUCGUCUUCCGCCUCAAAGAGUAAAUCAUACUCAUCUCGA